rnacentral:lncRNA from 1 species
AUGAGUUGUAUGAUCUUAUGCAAGGGAGACACGCAACUUGGCCCAGGCGAGGCGCGGAGCAGUCGCGAGGGUGGCAACGGGUGUUGGAAAGCGCUUCAUAAUGAUUAAAGAAACUCAAAACGACCAUAUCGACGGCCAGUUAUGGAUAAACGAGUUAGAACGGUCGAUUUAACAACAAAAUAUGCUUAAAUUGGAGUAUGUUCAUAAUGGAUUGAUGUCUAAUUAAACUAGUUAGGCAUUUAAUUAAUUGGUGGGCUGAUAUCCAAAUUCAAGUUGGGCCAAGUUGAUAAUUAAGUAGUUUGAGCAAUAGAUGAUUUGGGCUACAACCUAAAAAAUCACAAGACUCAAAUGUUAGUACAACUUUAUAGUUAAAAAUAAGACAACAUUAUAUAAGACUCUGAGAAGUUUGAGUAUUGUAAAAAUUGGUUAUUUUGUA